CAAGCGGUGGAUUAUGUGGAUUAAUUCGAUGCAACGCGAAAAACCUUACCUACCCUUGACAUGUGCGGAACGGGGUAGAGAUACCUUGGUGCCCGAAAGGGAACCGCAACACAGGUGCUGCAUGGCUGUCGUCAGCUCGUGUCGUGAGAUGUUGGGUUAAGUCCCGCAACGAGCGCAACCCUUGCCAUUAGUUGCUACAUUCAGUUGGGCACUCUAGUGGGACUGCCGGUGACAAACCGGAGGAAGGUGGGGAUGACGUCAAGUCCUCAUGGCCCUUAUGGGUAGGGCUUCACACGUAAUACAAUGGCCGGUACAGAGGGCUGCCAACCCGCGAGGGGGAGCAAAUCCCAAAAAGCCGGUCGUAGUCCGGAUUGUUCUCUGCAACUCGAGAGCAUGAAGUCGGAAUCGCUAGUAAUCGCGGAUCAACAUGUCGCGGUGAAUACGUUCCCGGGUCUUGUACACACC
rnacentral:rRNA from 1 species